AUUGAACGCUGGCGGCAUGCUUUACACAUGCAAGUCGAACGGCAGCGGGGAGGUGCUUGCUUCUCUGCCGGCGAGUGGCGAACGGGUGAGUAAUACAUCGCCACCUGUCGACAAGAGGGGGAUAACCACCCGAUAGGGUGGCUAAUACCGCAUAAAUUCUGAGGCAGGAAGCUGGGGGGCUAGGUAUAGCCCUUGGGCUUUUUGACCCGCCGUGGUCGGAUUAGCUAGUUGGUGAGGUAAAGGCUCACCAAGGCGAAGAUCUGUAGCGGGGCGGAGAGGAUGAACCGCCACUGUGGGAGUGAGAGACGGCACAGACACCGACGGGAGGCAGCAGUGGGGAAGUUUGGAAAAUGGGGGCAACCCUGAACCAGCCAUGCCGCGUGGAUGAAGAAGGCCUGAGGGUGGUAAAGUAAUUUUGUGAGGGAAGAAAAGUCAGCUGUGAAUAAUGGCUGAUACGGACGGAACCGAAAGAAUAAGCACGGGUAAAUUACGG
rnacentral:rRNA from 1 species